AUAAUGGUGUCUUUAGACACCACCUAUUUUCUUUGAGGGUUAUUC
rfam:Picea glauca, whole genome shotgun sequence.